rnacentral:lncRNA from 1 species
UCCUUUGACGUUCUAGCAUUUUCCUAUAAAUAGAGGGCUAAGUUAGAAUUGAAAAUCACACCAGAAACAAAGUUUUCUCUCUUUCUCUCUCUAAAUUAUCGAGCGUAUUCUUGUGAGUAUACUUUGAGUGUUGCUAUACGGUGCGGGUUUCUGUCAGCACUAUACCGAAAUUCAGUCAGAAGUACGGUUAUUUUGAGGUAAGGGGUAUUAUUUUCUUCUUAAAUGAUAUUUUUUCUUCAAUAUCAUUAUGCCGAAGUAUUGGUGAACUUUUUUAUCAAAUUUGGAACUUGUUGUGUCGGGGUUACUAUUCACGUAUACGGCACUAUUCAC